GUUAUGUUUUUAGGCGGCACAUUGGCCACUUUUCAUUCUUCUACGCAAGUGUUUGUUGUAAUGCGGCGUCGGGCAGGGCUCUCGCCACCACCCUCCAACCGUUAAGGUGCACAGGGGUUUGUGAAGGUUGAGCGGGACGGGAGACCCGCUGCAAAGGCCCUUUCGGGACCCGAGCAGGGCCGACCCACCACGUCAGAGAUACGUUAAUGAUCCUUCCGCAGGUUCACCUACGGAAA
rnacentral:misc_RNA from 1 species